GUUCCUACGGGAGGCAGCAGUGAGGAAUAUUGGUCAAUGGGCGGGAGCCUGAACCAGCCAAGCCGCGUGAGGGAAGAAGGUACAGCGUAUCGUAAACCUCUUUUGUUAGGGAACAAAGGCGGGGACUAGUCCCCGGAUGAGGGUACCUGAAGAAAGAGCAUCGGCUAACUCCGUGCCAGCAGCCGCGGUAAUACGUAGGGGGCAAGCGUUAUCCGGAUUUACUGGGUGUAAAGGGAGCGUAGACGGCAGAGCAAGUCUGAAGUGAAAGCCCGCGGCCAAAC
rnacentral:rRNA from 1 species